AAACAGCUUUAUAUUGCUGGUCUCUAAAACUCCAAGCAAACCCACUCUGCAGCCAGUGCUAAGGGGUACUGAAUUCCAUCAGGAUUUCAAUCCAGGGCAUUGCUGGGAAGCAUGAGCAUGAUGUGCUGUGACUCUGGCCCAGUGGUCUUUCAAGUAGUGCACAGUGCAGUCUGAGGGGCUGGAGAAGUUUGAGCAGCAUCAGAACUCAGAUAUCCUUUCAGUUGUUUUAGCACAUUUGCCAGACAUGGUUUCUCCCUGCACACAGGUCUGGAGCAUCAGCAUAAACAUGUCAAUAAAUCUCAUUCCUUGCA